AUGCACUGUGGCUCAAGCCUUUCCUACACCUCUCGGUCCUCAAAGACCAGCUGGCGCUGGUUUCUGACUCAUCGACAAUCACACACACACAGGCACGCGCGCGCGCACACACACACACACACACACACACACACACACACACACACACGCAGGCACCCGGACGCCCGCUCCUGGAGACCUGGAGUUUGCAGAGCCGGAGGGGUGGUUGGCUCUCGGCAAAUCUGGAGCCAGCACGCGAAGGCACGGAGAGCACCCGAACCCCACCAGACAAGGCAGGGUGGCCUGGAGAAAGCACCCAGCGCCGGCCUCGGGCAGCGGGGCCCCCCUCGAGCUGCCCAAACCCGGCGCUCGCCCGACCACCUCGGCAGUUCCUCCAAGUUUCUACUCACAGCGGGGCCUCCGCUUUCCCAGCUGCCUCACCCUGAACCUCCAACUUCGUGCCCCCGGGCCGCCCCCCGCCCCUCCGCCUUCCUUAGCUCCGCGCCCGGUCAGGGACCCGCGCGCUUCCCUGGAGCUGCCCAUAUGCCCCCACCCGCGGCGGCGGCCCGGCAGUCUGGCCAGAGCUCGCCGCCGUCUCCCGCUGCUGCUGCCGCGGCGACAGGAGCCUCUGUGAGGCUCCCGGGCCCCUCUUAUGUAUUAUUCACUCGAUGGCCACGGCGCUUUCUGGAAAGCCCAUGCCAGAGACGCGAGGUCUUCGCCCGGAGACUACGAAUUCGGCGAUUUCAGCUUUUUGGAAACUGGGGGUGCUGCGGGGGCGGCGGAGCUCAUUUUUCAGUUGUUUUGCUUUGCGGGGUUGGCUUUUUUUUUUUUUUUUUUGCCCGGAGCUCGCAGGAGCGCGCUGUCCCCCGGGCCCAAGAAGGAGCGCGCCAGAGCCGGCGAGUGCGGCGGGCAGCCGGGCUAGCCGCCGUGGCUGGCGAGCGAGCUGGUAAGAAGAGACGCCCCAGUGGCCGGGAGAGACGGGCAGAACGAGUUCUUUUCCUCGACGCCCCCGCCCCGGCACCCGCCCCUCCGGCCCGCUCCCCCGGCAGCUCUCGCUCUGCGGGCCCGGGAAUCCCCCACACCCCGGACCGCCCACCGAGUUGCUGCUGCCUUUCACCGUUGCUCCUCCACCUCGCCUCCCGCCCUAACUUUCCCCAGCCUGGACUCGUGCGCGUACACACAGACAGACAGACAUACAUACACAACACACACACCCCCUCUCCCCUCCCUCGACUCCAGCUCCACUUCCCCGUGUAG
rnacentral:lncRNA from 1 species